AUUCAUGGACUGCGUGUUGUGAAAAGCAUCAUUACUGUUUUGGCGCAAUGACCGCAGAAGAGACUGAGGACCAAGCAGGCCCUGUUAAAAUGGCACGCUUAGAAACACGAAACGAUACGGCUAGCAGCUCCACUUUCCAGCGGCAACAGCCUCUCUUUGGUUGUUCUCCCGACACCAGAUUUCCUUCCUUGCACAGAGCGUUAUGUUCUCCUGUGUUUUUAGGUAUGCUGUCUUGUUCCUGAUACGGCAAAACGUACACUGGGAUACGAACCAUGUAUCCGCCGGGCAGGCAGAGCAAAGACGGAAGGGAACAGGAAGAAAGGGUGAGAUGCUUCACUUGGAAAAAUAGAGGAAAGCACUUACUGUGGGCACCUGCUCUCCACUGGACUUUGGACGUUACGUGCAGUUCUCAUAGUGACAACAGACAACAGGAUCUUCUGCAAAGAAAACACAGGAUGGUUGUGGUGCUUUUUGGAAGUGAAGGAUUGUACAUGGGUCCUAGUCUCGAGUGAGCAGUAGAGCUUGCAGAUCUAGACAGGGCAAUUCCUGUCUCGCGUUCCCCUUUUCCUGAUGCCUUCAACAGUAUAGAUUCUUGUGCCGCUGCCAAAGCAACAUUUGAAAACUGCACAGCCAAGCAAAUCUCGAAAAGUCAGAAGCCUUGCAGGGCAAAAGUCCUACCUGGCCCCAACCACUUCCUAAAAACACUUGGCAAGUACCCAAAAAGGUGCUGCUGGUUGCCAUGGCACCCGCAGGUCACGGCAUCCACAGGCGCCAUGUUCAGGACACCUGGUUUAUGCACUGCUUGAAUGAUGAAACACUCACUGAUACCAGGAAAAUGAAUGAGGCAAGAUGACAACCGCAGUAACAAAAUCUUAUAGAUCUCACUGCCUUUAUCUCAGUAAUGAUAAUGCUUAUUUAAUAAUUCAGCUGUUGUAUAAAUUCAGAAAUAUACAUCCAGUCCCCCUUGGAAAGACUCUCAGAAAGAGUAAUAUUUGUGCUGACUUAGGUUUAGCCUUAUUCCUAUCUGCAAAACUCCCUUCGGUCUCCAACCCGAUUAGAAUGUUGUGGUCUCCUGAGUGGUAAUUUUUGAAUUCCCUCUUGGGCUUGGUUUCCGGUUCUCUUUACAUGAAAUUUCAGGGGACCUGGCGGAGUGUGGAAAGCGAGAUAACAUGAAACUGGCAAACAGCCUUGGAGAGACCCCUGCGGUUUGGGACAGGGAGGAAGGGAACGGAGACACAACACAGGCUAAAUCCAAAGGUUUCGCUUUGGCAUAUGAAUGCGAUUGCUAAGCACAGACUUGCGUGUAAACCCUCCGUGGGAUCAAGUGCUUUGCCUGACCUCCUCAGAAAUCAAGUGUGAUUUUAGAACACGGGAGUGCCACUGACAGGUGACUGGACAGAUCGAAUGCUGCGUUCAAGGGGGACGGAUUAAAGGACGGGGAGGCAUCUUGCAAAGGGCUGGAUCAAGUGCUGCUUGCCCUUUUCAUUAAUAACUUCCACGAAGACAGAGACACCACGCUUUCAUUAAACCCGCCAUCACUUUUGUCUUUAUGUAUGUAUUUUUGAAAAGAUUUUUUUCUUGUUCUCUCUUGUCUCUGUUGAGGAAUUAAAAAAAGAACAAAUAUAUAUCCCUUCUGGAGGUAGAACCUUUAACUCAUAACUUGACCAACCCUUGUUUCUGAACAUGUCCCUUUCAGUGGAGAGACAUUAUUUUCUCAAGUUAUUAUUUUUUUAUCUCGACAACAGAAAUAAACUUCUUGUUUGUUUUUAAA